UACGUAGGGUGCAAGCGUAAUCGGAAUUACUGGGCGUAAGCGUGCGCAGGCGGUUCUAUAAGACAGAUGUGAAAUCCCCGGGCUCAACCUGGGAACUGCAUUUGUGACUGUAGAGCUGGAGUGCGGCAGAGGGGAUGGAAUCCGCGUGUAGCAGUGAAAUGCGUAGAUAUGCGGAGGAACACCGAUGGCGAAGGCAAUCCCCUGGGCCUGCACUGACGUCAUGCACGAAAGCGUGGGGAGCAACAGG
rnacentral:rRNA from 1 species